UAAUACGUAGGGUGCAAGCGUUAAUCGGAAUUACUGGGCGUAAAGCGUGCGCAGGCGGUUCCAUAAGACAGAUGUGAAAUCCCCGGGCUCAACCUGGGAACUGCAUUUGUGACUGUGGGGCUAGAGUACGGUAGAGGGGGAUGGAAUUCCGCGUGUAGCAGUGAAAUGCGUAGAUAUGCGGAGGAACACCAAUGGCGAAGGCAAUCCCCUGGACCUGUACUGACGCUCAUGCACGAAAGCGUGGGGAGCAAACAGG
rnacentral:rRNA from 1 species